GGUCAGAGGCGAAAGGCAGCAGGAGCAUGGGUUGGUGGGUG
rnacentral:SRP_RNA from 1 species